AUGUCUCUUUUAUGGGCUGAGACGACCGGCUGCAGAACUUGAGAGAAUCAGAGGCGUUGAUCAUUUGUGGACGAUCACUGCAUCUCUCCCAUCUUCUGCUGCGGGACGUUUCCCUCAAACUAUGACCCAAUCGUCGGGUGUUGCGUACUUUCAGCCCCUCCUCGUCCGGAGCUGCGUCAAGUCCGACACAGACACGCUGAGCGGCGCCGGAAACGCGGUUAACUUGACAACGGUCCCAUCCAGCUGAUGCCACGGAAAGCCUCCUUGAGUUCAGUUUGCCCGGUGCGCUCAGAGGACUUAGAGGGGUCAGUGAGCUCCACCGUCCCGCAGACACAACACCAGGGGCGGCGGCGGAGGCGGCACCCGAGCAGCUGCUCUGCGGUUCAGACUGCAUCCUUUACCUGGACCGGAGGAGAGGAGAGGAGAGGAAAGGAGGGGGGGGGGGCUGCUGGCUCUGCUGUCCGGACUCAAAUGAACACACAACAGUCAGCGGAGGAAAAAUCGUUGGAAACGGUUUCAGCGCUCAAACCAAGAUGAAAGCCAGCAGGCAAGUCACCGUGACCGCAGAGAAGCUGAACGGGGACAUGAAGCGGAGGCCAAGCUAUCCCGGCGAGCUGCGGGCCAAGCACGCCAACAUGUCAACUAAGAUUUGGGUGAAAGUGGCGAUGGCGAUUGCCUAUUUCCUCUGCGUGUCCGUGGCCGCGUUCAUCCUGGUGAUUUACUAUGUGUUUUUCUGGACACCUGACCUACAGUACAACAGCACCUGCACCGAGGCGCAGAACCGCACCGACGGCGCGCCGAGGUUUGGAUGACUAUAUAGCACGCACCCUCGCACGCACGCACACAUCUACACAUAUCAUGUAGGUGUCGGCACACACCUAACAGGAGGCUGCAGCGGUGACGGAUGGGAGGGGGAAGGUGCACAGAGAGACAUGACUGCAUCCAGAGUUUGGGAUGCUAACUGAGGACCUGAAGGAGGACAGAGGAGGCAAGUGCUGCCGGGAUGCAUCAGUGUUCCGCAUGCAGGAUGCAGGUGGGGGGGGGGGGGUUAUUGUUGGGUUUUUUUUUCUCCUGCUUUACUUAAACACACAUAGCUGAGAGGGGUUUCAUGUUGUUAGUAUUUUAUUGUCUCACAACUCAAACCCACAGGGGUUCUCCUGACCAAUAAGAGUCCGUCUUACAGAUCUGCAUUAAGGAUGUUUUUUUUUGUUGUUUUUUUUGGUUCCUGAUUCAGUGUUUGGGAUGUUUCACUGUGUGGGGGAUAAAAUGGUGGCGCUUCUGAAAGUCAAACAGUACAAACAUCCCCUAACUGAUGGGUGGAUUAUGAGCCUGGAGACACAGACAUGUUAAAGACUCCCUGAAAUGUUUGAAGAUGAACCAGAAUCAAAACUUUUCAAGUGCUGCUGAACUUCGGUGUUUAGUUGAUGUUGGAGAUGAUGAGGAGCUGUCAGAUCCACACUGACACUGCUGUACAGAUACUUCACUAAAUACUACAGCACAUAGGAAACCAUCAGAGACGGCCUGAGAUGACGGCUCUGUUUUCUUAAAGCAGAGCUGACGAAUGUUACUAUGGCCUCUAAAAGCAGUUUUGAUAGUGGAUUCAAAAAUGCCCAAUUCGCUUAUCAAGCAAACAUUGGUUCAAGGUCGUCACAUGUCGGGAUUUGCUGCUUUCCUCUGUUUGAUUUGACUGUUAAUUGAAUAUUGUUUAGUUUCUGACAGUAUUAACAGUAGUUUUAAUAUGAAAGAAGAAAUCAACAAAAACAAAUGGUAUAAUACAAAAUACUUUGAUCAGGAGAAUAACAUGUGAUGUGGACGUUUGUAUUUUUAGCAUCUUUGUGCCCAGGAGGCCGGCUCAGUAAUCCAUCCAUGCUUCCCAGUGCUUUUCAAAUAUAUCAUUUCUGCCACCUUGAGAACCUUUGAAACCCAGACAGUGUCUCCUGGAAACCGCACAAGGACCUUCAUACACUCAAGACCCCCCUCAAGGAUCCUUAUAAUCCCUGAAUCCCACCUGAACCUUGUGGAGCAUCCUCAGAGAUUCCCAGAACACGCUUUAGGAAACCACCCUGCAACCACUGAAGAACUCUUGAACCCCCAAAUGAAUCAUGUUAACCCCUCAAAUCCUCAGAGACACUGUCAACGAUCUGAUCCGAAUGCACCCCCCUCAGACCCCCCUUCAAGGUCCCCUGAAGGACUUCACUCUGUGAUCCACUGUUCUGCACUAAUGGAGAUUUCUUUUUAAAAUAUGCCUACAGAGGAAUGACUGACUUUUCUUUCGUUCACAGCUGGAUGCUGUUUUUAUUCAGGUAUCUAGAGGAAUUUAAAGCGAUACUGUACUGUAGCAGAAGUAGCCUAAAUGUGUGAUCUCUGGUAGCUCGUAGCUGUAUGAAAUGCAAGGCGAUCACUCACUAUACUCUCAGUAGUUGCAGAAAUUUUAUCUUUUUAGAGCAACUUUUGUCUUGCACCACCUCACAGAAUGAGCGUAAAAUAUUCAAUGCAAUGUCACGUUUGUACCUCUUCUUGAUGACACAGUUUGUUCACCUCACUUCCUGUUCAUAAUUUAUUCUAUUGUCCCCAAAUCUAUUAGACUGUUUUAUUUACAAUGUAGCCUUGAGAAUCUAUUGUUAUGAUAUAAUAAACUAUGCAUUUAUUCCA